rnacentral:rRNA from 1 species
ACAAUCCGCGUGAGGGUACCAGGCUUUUGGGUUGUAAACCUCUUUUCUCAAGGAAGAAGUACUGACGGUACUUGAGGAAUCAGCAUCGGCUAACUCCGUGCCAGUAGCCGCGGUAAUACGGAGGAUGCAAGCGUUAUCCGGGAUUAUUGGGCGUAAAGCGUCCGCAGGUGGUGCAUCAAGUCUGCUGUCAAAGACCAGGGCUUAACCCCGGGAAGGCAGUGGAAACUGGUGGACUAGAGUACGGUAGGGGUAGAGGGAAUUCCCAGUGUAGCGGUGAAAUGCGUAGAGAUUGGGAAGAACACCAGUGGCGAAGGCGCUCUACUGGACCUGUACUGACACUCAGGGACGAAAGCUAGGGGAGCGAAAGGGAUUAGAUACCCCUGUAGUCA